UACGUAGGCAGCAAGCGUUGUUCGGAGUUACUGGGCGUAAAGGGUGUGUAGGCGGUUCUUUAAGUUUGGUGUGAAAUCUCCCGGCUCAACUGGGAGGGUGCGCCGAAUACUGAGGGACUAGAGUACGGGAGAGGAAAGUGGAAUUCCUGGUGUAGCGGUGAAAUGCGUAGAUAUCAGGAGGAACACCGGUGGUGUAGACGGCUUUCUGGACCGUAACUGACGCUGAGGCACGAAAGCGUGGGGAGCAAACAGG
rnacentral:rRNA from 1 species